rnacentral:lncRNA from 1 species
GUUCCGGCGUCUGCGGGAGCUGCGAGUUCAGCACCAGUAAACGAGGGAGUGGGUCGUGGGGUCACUGGCGCGUUCACAUCGGGAAGAAAGUGCUCCGUCCCGGGCGGAGACGGGAGGGGCGGGGUCCUCCUGCGGAGCGUGCGUGGUGCGAAGGCCGCCCCGAGCCGCCGCUCUGCCGGGCGCGUCUCACUGCGCGCUGCCGACCGAAGCCGCGGCGCGGGCCGGCGGUCCCCGCGCUUCCCUCCGCGCCGCGCCCGCGCCCGGCCUGGCGCUCGCCGGCGUGCUGCCUCGUCCCAGUCCCCGGCAGGCGCCUUGGACUGCUGUGUUCGUCCCGCCGCCCCCUCCGCAGGCCGGAGCCGCGGGCGCGCGAGCGUCGGGCCUUCACGGGAGGCCUCGCUGGGGUCUUCCGCGGCCGCUCGCCCCGCCCGGGGGCGCCGCGCUGAGGUGCGGGGGCGCGCGGCUGUCCGGGGCCGCCCUCCUGCCUGCUCCCCGGGCCGCGUGCCGCCGGGGCCGAGGGGACGAGCCCCGGGAGCGUGGCUCCUGCUCGCAGGCGCGUGCUGACCUGGCGUCUCUGCGAUUCUGCGUUUGUCUCGAUACAGAAGUUAAACAUCCUGCCCAACAUCUGCAGGCCUUUGUCGUGAAAUCUCCUCGUCUUUGUCGUGGGCUUGUCUUGUUCGCGUUCCUUACGUGUGUGUGAGCGCUCAGCCUCCUGGCGGGGUGAGCGGCGGGGUGGAGUUGGGUUUGCGGGCUGCGCUCGUGGCCCGGCAGGCGUCUUAGGAGAGCCCCCGGCAGGGUCGGCGUCGCGGGGCCGCGCGGCUCUCGAGGCGCAGAGCGGCGUCGUUGCGCGGCGGUCCGGCCUCGGUCCUGCUGUUCUCGCCGCUGCCUGCGGUCUGCUCGGAGGAGGCGUCCCCUGCUUUCUCCUCCGGACGCUGGAGCCCUUGUUCCACCAGGAAUGGGGUGCGAGGCGCGAAACCGGGUUCGCUUUCUGCCCGUGACAACCGCCGGGUGUCGGCGGUCUCCCCCCGGUGCCCCGCCAGCCGGCAGGACUCGGGGCUGCCCACGCGUCUGCGGGGCUGGUUCGGCUCUCUUUUCGGUUCCAUGGAUCUGUCUGUGCCUGGGCUGGACCGCCUGUCCUAACGGCCAUACCUUUGUAGUAAAUCUUGAUCCAGCGCAGGAAGUCCUCCCGUCUUGCCUUUCACUAGCGUCUUCGCUGUUCUUGGGUAUCCGAUUUUCAUGUCAAAUUCUUAAAAAUUCCUGUUGGGAUUUGACUGAUACUGCUUGAUAUUUUUUUUUUUUAUUAUCACUUUCUGAUUGCUGCCUAGCUAUAGAAACACAGUUGAUUUAUUGAUUGAUUUUUUAUCCAGUGACUCAGCUAAAUUACUUUAUUGAUUUAAUUUAUUUGCAUAUUUGAGGGAGUUGUUAGGUGGACACUCAUAUUACCUCAAAGAAUAAAAAUCUAGUUUCCCCCUUUCCGAAUUUUCUGUCUCUUUCCUUUCUCUUGUUUUUCUGUCCUUGCUCAGCUGUGCAGUGCCACGCUGACUAGAAGUGGUGACAGCAGGCAUACUUAUGUCCUUGGUGAUUCUAAACGGAACGCGUUCCCAUUUCAUCAGGUGUCCUAUUAGCUGUGGAUGUGCACCUUAUUAGGUCACCGAGGUCCCCUGCUAUUUGUAGAAGGGUUUGGGGGAGUUUUUUUCUUGUGUAUUAGUCUAUUGUUUAAGACUGAAUAAAUCUUGAAAUUUACUGAAUUCAUUUUUCUUCAUCUUCUUGGGGUGAUCAUAUUUUUUGUCUUUAACCUGGUGAGUUGGUAAAUUAUAGAUUUUUCUAAUGCUGAAUCACUUGUCUUCUUAGAAAAUAUUCAGACUGAUCAUGAUAAUUAUAUUUUUUAAUGUAAUGUUGGAUUUGGUAUGCUAAGGUUUUGUUUAGAAAUUGGUCUAUAUUUUCCUCUCUUGCAAUUUCCUUUUCUGGUUUUGGAAUUAAAGUUAUUCUAGCCGCAUACAAUGAAUUCAAGUCUUCUCUCCCUUCCUCCUCUUUGUUAGAUUUUGUUGAAGAUGCAAAUCACCCAUUCCUUGAGUGUUUGCUACAACUUGCCUGUAAAACUAUCUAGACUUCUUUUCUUUGAGGGAAGAUUUUAAAUUACUGGUGUAAUUUCUGUAAUAGUUAUUAUAGUAUUUAUCAGGUUUUCUCUUAAGACAGUUUUGAUAAGUUAAAUUUUUCUAGAAAAUUGUUCAUUUUGUGUACUUUCAGUAUAUAGGCAUAAAGUUCCUGGUUUUUUGGUGUUUUGUUAAUUUUUGCUCUCUCUAUAAUUAUAUACUCUCUUUUCCUCAUAUUUAUUUUGCUUUCUCUUGUUUUUUUAUAUUAACUUUAUCAAAGACUUCACGGUAGUUUUAGUCUUUUGAGAGAACCAGCUUUUGGUUUUGUUGAUCUUCUCCGUUUUAUGUCUUUUAUUUAUUUUAUUAUUUUCUUCCCUUACUGUGUAUGUGUGUAUAACUUUUAAAGCAGAGAGCAGCAUGAUCUAGUGAUGGCUAGAAUGGAAAUAAAAUACGUGUCAUGAAAGAAUGUUCUGAUGAUAUGUAAUGCUAUCAAGAGCUUCCAGAUGAUUCUAUAGUGAUAAUAAUUGGUAAAAUCUGUUACUGUGCUGAGUGCUUUGCAUGAAUUGUCCUGUUUAAUCUAUGUAGUGAUCUCAGGAGAUAGGUACUGUUAUCUUCAGUGUGGAGGAGGGGAAGCGGAUGCAGAAGGGGUCAGUAACUCGACCAAAGUCAGACAGCUAGAUCACCCCUUCUGUGUCAUUCUUUGAGGAAAACGAGUUCUUCUCAAGGAGGAAAGUCUGAACCUGUCAAGCAAUCCCUUAAGAAGCCCAAGUUACCAGAAGGUCGUUUUGAUGCACCAGAAGAUUCCCAUUUAGAGAAAGAACCACUGACAAAAUUUCCAGAUGAUGUUAAUCCUGUUACCAAAGAAAAAGGUGGACCCAGGGGCCCGGAACCUACCCGCUAUGGAGAUUGGGAACGAAAAGGACGCUGCAUUGAUUUUUAAGCCAUGUAUUCUUUACCUUCACUAUCUGUUUCUGAAUAUGCACAUCUGAAUUAACUGAUUACUUUAUUUUUGUAUAUCCUUUAAGUCAUCUAAUUUCUAUAAUGUGUUUAAAAAUAUAUAUGAUGGCUUUGGAAGAAAAUAUGCUGCUAUAAAUUAGGAAAGGGAAAAUAUACAUUAGCACAUUAAUUUAAAUGUAUUGAGGUAUAUAAGUGAUGAGAAAAGCAAACUUUUCCUUCAUAUUUCAGUUAAAUCAGUUGCUUAUAAAAUGCAAAUGUGAAUAAAAUAAGUUUUUUAUUGAUUGCAUUGCCAUGUGCUAGGUAAUAGUGGCUUUUUAAAUGCGGAUUGAGUGGUGCAUUAUAGUUUGAGGAGACGACAGUAACAUCAGAAAGUCUUUAACUUGGAGCCAGAUGACUUGCGUCCAAAUCCUGGCUGUACUGCUUACUAGCUGUGUUACCUUGGAUAGGUUAUUUAUCUUCUCUGUUCUUCACUAUCUUUAUGUGUAAAUUGGAGAUGAUGCUCAUUCCACCUGAUAGGGCAGUUGAGACGAUUAAAUGAGUAAAUACCUGUGAACCGCUUGGAGCAGUGCAUAGCACAUACUUCUCAGUAAGUGGUAGCUAGCUUUAAACCAUAAAUGUAUUUAUCCAAGUCUCCACACUUCCUGGGGGAAAAGAUUAAGAAACUGAAAUUUGAAAUACUAAAAUUGAAAUUGUCUUAUAUGAAUAUAAUGUUAAAAAUCUUUAGUUGGAAAGUUAGUGAUUAUAUGCAUGAGUGAACUGAGGUGAAAUAGACAUUAGUUUGUGAAACAUGAAAUUCAGGUACAGAGGGCAAAUAGGAGAAAAGCAGCGAUGGAAUGGACCAGCUCAGUCAGUUUUGAUUGACUCAGAAGCUCCUACCGUGUGUCCUUCGGACAACUGGGUCAGAAAAAGUCAAGUCCAGUUGACAGAUGUGGAAUGAAGGAAGGAUGGAAACUACUGGGCUCCCCAAGGCGUCUUUCGCUGUCCUGUGGCCUCAGUCACAAAGACCGAGCCUUCAGCCCCCAGGACACUAAAAUUACUUAGAGAGGGUUUGCAAAGCCCGUAGAAGAAAGAAUGCAGUGGGCUGAUACUAUGUGAUGUGAACUGUAGGUGCAGUAUUAUUUGAGAAGAUUGUACGGAGACUUAUUUAAGAGAAGAAGCUUUUUAAAAAAGUGUAUUUUCCCCAGAUACACACAAAAGAGUAUGGUAAUUGGGACUAGUCAUUCAGUCUUGAUCCCAGUUGUCUCUCAGUCAACAUGUGUUCUUUUAAUUGCAGUUACUGUGUGUGCUGCUAAGUAAUAACCACAUUCCUUUAGAAAUACUCUAUAAUUUAGUCAGCCUUCAAUUGCCCAAAUUAUUGAAGAUUUUUAGUAAGUUAACAGUCCAGAAAUAUUGUGUUAUUUUGUACUGUAUAGCUUUGCUUGUGUUCCACAUUGAUCAUCAUGAUAUGUGAUAAGGACAACUUACAUAUUUCAGAAGCUAACAUAAAAUAUAUAAUAACUGAAGUGUUGUGUUAAGAUAAUAGAAUCUUUAACCUCUGUCAAUAGUAACGUGAUUCAUGACAGCUAUCAAAUAUAUAGGUAAAAGUUGGUGGAAUGAAAACAUACUUGGUCUUAUGUCCAUCAAAACCCUGAAGACUUAGAAAAGAUGAUACGGCAGCAAUGGAACGCGUAACUCAGAUCUGCAGGAAGUAGAGUUGACGGAGACGCAGCUGCUGCCCCGUGGGAUCCACCACCAUGUUCCUGCCGAGGCCACACUUCCCCAGGCUGUUCCUAGCCAAUGAGUGGGUAUGACGGGGCUGCAGUGAAGCAGUCUGAUGGCCCACUCCCCUGCUGGACGACCUUGGCUCAAGGACUCCUCAUUAGCCUGCCCGGAGUUUUCUUAGGACUGUGCUGCUGUCCGAGGCUCUUCCUGCCCAGUCCUCCUCUCCUUCCCUCUCCCUUCACAGGGGUCAGGCUCUGCCUGCUCCUCCCCUCUGGGAUUCACAAAUGUCUCCCCAGUCCUCCUCUCCUUCCCUCUCCCUUCACAGGGGUCAGGCUCUGCCUGCUCCUCCCCUCUGGGAUUCACAAAUGUCUCCCCAGUCCUCCUCUCCUUCCCUCUCCCUUCACAGGGGUCAGGCUCUGCCUGCUCCUCCCCUCUGGGAUUCACAAAUGUCUCCCCAGUCCUCCUCUCCUUCCCUCUCCCUUCACAGGGGUCAGGCUCUGCCUGCUCCUCCCCUCUGGGAUUCACAAAUGUCUCCCCAGUCCUCCUCUCCUUCCCUCUCCCUUCACAGGGGUCAGGCUCUGCCUGCUCCUCCCCUCUGUAGUUCACAGAUGUCUCCCCAGUAAAUCUUUUCUACAUUUAAUCCCAUCUUAGCAUUUGUUUCUCAGAACUGAAACUAAUAUGGAUAGUUUUAAAAAGAACAACUUAUAGAUAAAUUGUCAGAAAAUGUCACACAAAACUUGUGGGUUUUUCUAGUGUAAUCAUAGUUUAAAUAGUUUAAUUUUCCAUUGCUUGGGGAUUUCUGGGAAAUUAUAGGUUGAGCUUUUAUGUACAAGGCUCGCACCAUGGAACCUUGUUCAUAUUAGGCAUUUUGCUGGAAUUGAAUUAUGCUCAGCAUUUUUUCCUUGCUUUGGUGUCAGUUGCUAUGACCUACCAUGAGUCAAAAUAUAACAUUACAUAUUAUUAAACUUGUAAGAACAAACCUAAGCCACGUUCUGCUAGUAAAUAACACAUGUUCUUUCGAUGAAUAGAAUGGUUUAUAAUGAACAGACUUGGUAAUAGUAAUAAUUAAUGAUAUAUCAGCAAUUUUAAAGAUAAUUUCAGAACAGAACAGUAGUUUUUAUAAGUAUAGGAUAAGAAUGGCUGCAGGCUGUUAGUCAGCCAACACUUAUUGAUCAGUUAGAAGGAAAGUAAAAUGAAGAGCGCCUGGCAGGUUUGUUCAUGCAUUCAGUUGAUUCUUUCAUUUAAUCAGUGAUUAUUUGUCUGCUACGUGCCAGGUGUUCUGCUAGGCUUUGGGUGUUUGGUGUUGGAUUAAAGCAAACCCUUGCCAUCCUGGCAUAAAGUCUGGUGGGUUUGAUUUGCACGUGAGAACAGUUCCAAAGGACAGCCGACUGAAGCCUAAAUGCAUUGCAAGGGACUGUCCUUUGCCUCAACCAACCAAAGGGGCCUUCCUAAGUUUGAUGAGACUGUCACUUUCUGGGUUUUUGAUACUAGAGGACUCUUCAGAGACCUGUGUUUUCACCUUUUUAAAUCUAAACUGACCUUGUGUGGGCCAGGCCCAGUGGCCUAGUGGUUAAGGUCAGUGUCCUCCACUUUGGUGGCCCAGGUUCAGUUCCCAGGUGUGGACCUACACCACUCACCUAUCAGUGACCAUGCUGUGGUGGCGAGCCACAUACGAAAUAGAGGAAGACUGGCAACAGGUGGUAGCUCAGGGUGAAUCUUUCUCAGCAGAAAAUAAACUGACUCUGAGAUAUUUAUUAAUCAAGUUAAAUACUCAUUCUGUGAUCAUACGUGUUCUGACCUUGCCAUAGAUCAGCCUCCCUAGACAUUGACUAAGAAGAUGUGGAGUAAGCAGAGUGAUAUAAUUAAGGUUGCUCAAGCCAUUCCUGGCCCGAGAAGAACAUUUUUGGUGCAUCCCUCUGCACGAACACUGGAGCUAAAGCUGCCCCUGAUUUGCCUGAGCCGGGCCUGGCUGCUAUGAAUGAAUUAUAAAGGUUGGUGUGUAAUCCAUGCAUAUGAGGGUGUGUGUGGAUAUUGAAGGAUAUUUAUGAUUGGUAAGUACUCUGUGUCAGUUCUUUGUGGGCACCUUGUUCUGACUCUUCCCCUUAGAUCUUUCACUGUAGAAAUAGGUGCCUCAUUUUCUCACCCUGCUGACUCGGCCUGAGGCCUAAUGUGCUGCUUUUGCGUCUCCCUCUCUUUCUUUUCCUUCUCCUUAGGGCAGGCAAUUCCAAAUAUUUUCUCUAAACCAAUUUCCCUCUUCUAAUCACCCAAAUCUGGGUGGGGAAUUAAAGGAAAAUGUAGCCUUCUCUGUUACUCAAGGUUUUUAAAUAAAGAUGACAGAAUCUACCCUAUUUCAGUGGCUAUUAAACUUUUUGGUCUCGGGGCCCUUUUAUACUCAAUAUCUUUUGGGGUCCCUAAAUUGUUUAGGACACCAAAGAAGUUUUGUUUGUGUGUGUUAUGUGUGUCAAUACCUAUUAUAUUAGAAUUGAAAACUGAGAAAUCUUUAAAAUGUUUAAAUCAUUUAAAAAUAAC